rnacentral:rRNA from 1 species
GCCAUUUCCAAAAGCGGAGGAAAAGAAACCAACUGGGAUUACCUUAGUAACGGCGAGUGAAGCGGUAAAAGCUCAAAUUUGAAAUCUGGUACUUUCAGUGCCCGAGUUGUAAUUUGUAGAAUUUGUCUUUGAUUAGGUCCUUGUCUAUGUUCCUUGGAACAGGACGUCAUAGAGGGUGAGAAUCCCGUUUGGCGAGGAUACCUUUUCUCUGUAAGACUUUUUCGAAGAGUCGAGUUGUUUGGGAAUGCAGCUCAAAGUGGGUGGUAAAUUCCAUCUAAAGCUAAAUAUUGGCGAGAGACCGAUAGCGAACAAGUACAGUGAUGGAAAGAUGAAAAGAACUUUGAAAAGAGAGUGAAAAAGUACGUGAAAUUGUUGAAAGGGAAGGGCAUUUGAUCAGACAUGGUGUUUUUUGCAUGCACUCGCCUCUCGUGGGCUUGGGCCUCUCAAAAAUUUCACUGGGCCAACAUCAAUUCUGGCAGUAGGAUAAAUCAUUAAGAAUGUAGCUACCUCGGUAGUGUUAUAGCUUAUUGGAAUACUGCUAGCUGGGAUUGAGGACUGCGCUUCGGCAAGGAUGUUGGCAUAAUGGUUAAAUGCCGCCCGCUGA